GCCGGGGUGGCGAAAUGGCAGACGCGCUACGUUCAGGACGUAGUGCCCGUAAGGGCGUGCGAGUUCGACUCUCGCCCUCGGCACCA
rnacentral:tRNA from 1 species